UCGAGAAUUUUUCACAAUGGGCGAAAGCCUGAUGGAGCGACGCCGCGUGGGGGAUGAAUGGCUUCGGCCCGUAAACCCCUGUCAUUCGCGAACAAGUUGGUUCUUUUAAUACCUGAACCAUUGAUAGUAGCGGAAGAGGAAGGGACGGCUAACUCUGUGCCAGCAGCCGCGGUAAUACAGAGGUCCCAAGCGUUGUUCGGAUUCACUGGGCGUAAAGGGUGCGUAGGUGGUCGGGUAAGUCUGAUGUGAAAUCUCGGAGCUUAACUCCGAAACUGCAUUGGAUACUAUUCGGCUGGAGGGUUGGAGGGGGGACUGGAAUUCUCGGUGUAGCAGUGAAAUGCGUAGAUAUCGAGAGGAACACCAGUGGCGAAGGCGAGUCCCUGGACAACUCCUGACACUAAGGCACGAAAGCUAGGGGAGCAAACAG
rnacentral:rRNA from 1 species